UUCUUUUUUUCUUAUAUAUUCCGGAACUGGGAAAAAAAAAAGAUUACGUUUCCGUUUGGCAAGUCACUCACACCCUACCAAAUUCUUUCUAUCUAUAUUGCCAUACGGCGAGAGAUCUGAAGAUGAUGAGACGACGAGCAGCUCCGUGAUUGAAAAGAUUCUUCCUAUGCUGGACUGUGUGCAGCAAAUAUUUGGAUUACGUCUUCGUGUCCAAUUGAUUGAACGUAGCGCGACAACUUGAGCUAAAAGUUUGGCCAACAACAGCCGUUUACCAUCUCCUCCUGAGGAAGUAGGGGUGAGAAAAUGGCAAGUGGCGUGAGUUGAAGAAGUAAAUGGUUGAAAGAGAGACGCGUGGUGUAGAUGGGCAUUCAUCGCUUUUCUAUCCACUUAGAUCCACAUCAGUAAGAUUCCUUGUUGUUGUCUGUGUAAAUUUACUCUUCCUGAAGCUCCCGCAUAUGCAUAUACGUAUUCCCCUCGAUAGAUUCUCCCUAUGUACCCAAGCUGCAUUUGCAGACUGUGGGAUCCGUUGCCCUGGCAACUCGUUCGACUGAUCGAUCGAUGGGAAACUCCAUUCCUCGGCUGGCUUUGAUGUGUGUUAAGAGGAAAACCCCCUUUUUUUCCCGAAACACACCAAACUGUGGACGAUGGAAGAGUGCGUUGCUCUGCGAGGUUUCGCCGGGGGCUUGCGACACUGAUUAAGAGUGAUGAAAAUGGACCAGAGGAUUGUGGUGGUUGGGGGUUCCAUCAGGAGUGAUCAUUAUUAGGGCAGCUGAUGGAUCGCUCUUGGUGAUCUUAAUUGCUAAUACGAGAACAAAAAAGAUUGGCCUCUGCUGACAUGAUUUUUCUUUCGUGAAUUGUUGCUGCAGACGAUAGACAUGCGUCCAGCAGGAAAGACCAAUGGGGGGGGGGGGGGGGGCAGAGUUGUAUGGUGUCUGUGUCUUUCCAUCGGCAAGACAGGAAUAACAAUACGCCCUGUGAUGGACCGAUAUUGACUUUGUGUCCCUAACCGAAGGAGGGUACGGCGCUUAACUUGAUUGGCUCGUGUGUCAGCUGACCGGAGAGAUGAGGAACCUGCUGGAUUUCUCUUGGCGUUACGAGCUCAGUGCCGGCCGGAAUAAGUAAAAUGGAAGAUGUGAUAGGAAUGGAAACAACAAGAGACCAACAAACAAAAAUGGAGAGAUGAUAACCAACGAAGAAAUAGCAAAACAAGACAAG